AAUAAGAUAACGACAAAUAAGAUUUUUCCUCCUGAUUUUCAAUUUUUUUCUCUUGAAAAAAUUCAAAUCCAACUGAAAAUGCUAAAAAUCGAAAGGAAAAAUCUGAUUUGUCAAUCUCCUAUU
rfam:Gossypium arboreum cultivar AKA8401 contig_15313_7, whole genome shotgun sequence.